ACAAAGGAGAACACAGACAGACUCAUUACAAUUCAACAUCACCUCUUAAAGUUCUAACGUUACACUGAGUACCCUGUCUGACUCUUCAGAUCUAAAACAUUCCUCACAAACUUAAACUCAUUAUUCCUGCAGUAGGUUGGAAGGGAGAAGAAGAAAUUCUGGAGUGAGUUAGAUGAGGUGAUGAAGUAUAGUGUUCUCGUGCAGUGUCUUGAAACUCUGACUAAUCACCAAGUUAAACCAUAAUCAAUGAAGACAGAGUCGUGGUAAGGUUGAUCGUUUACUGUCACUCUUCCUUGUUAAUAUAUAUUGUAUACUCUACAGCUUGUAUUGACAACAGCCAUGUUAGAGUGAUCUCCUUCUCCUCAUACAUGACUGUAUUUUAGCUGCAUUAAUCUCUGAAAUUUUAGCUGCACACUGUUUAGCUUCUUCAAUUUGGAAUGCCAGAGUGAGACCUUAUUCAUAGUAAGUUUAUCUUCUUCCGUAAGCAGCUUCUCUCUGACACUGUUUGCUUUCUCAAUAAUUUACAUGGCUCAGCAAGGCUUUUUACAGUAAAUCAGCGACAAACUGACUGUCUGACACCCGAUCAUUGGCAUAUUUGUCUGAAAUGUAAGUUUUUAUCAAAAGUUAUGAAUCUUUUUAAAAUGUCCUUUCAGUCGUGCAACAGAGUCGAAAUUUCUUCCAUCUGGGACAUCAUCCAAGCCGGCGGGUCAAAUGUACGUCUGAAGCGACACUUACCAGCGCUCCCACGGCAGAACAGGUUUACCAGUGUGGGGUAGAAAUGGCUUAGGGGAAGAUUACUCAAAGAAAUGCUAGUUUACUUAAAGAACUUCAGCAGCAACAGAACACAGUGAAGCAUGCGCAUCAGCCUGACUUUACAACAAUAUUACUGCAACAGAUAAUAAUGAAGAACUGGUUAGAAACCACAAGAAGAUGUAUUGUCUAAUCAGCAGUCAGACGCAAUCCGGUUUGUCUGAAUUGUCGUUGUGUUUUAAGCUUUGUGAUUUUGUUUUGCACUUCCUGGCCAUCUUAUUUAUCAGUGUUUUUAACACUAAAUUUUCUGCCUCGAUAAUAAUUAUAAUUCUGGCUGUAUUUGCAAUAUGUAUUUUAACUUUGCCUUUGUCAGACAUGUAAAUAGACAAUCAUUGUGUCUCUCUUUGUCAUUUUCUUCUUAAACUUGGACAUCAUUUUUAGAUUCAGUGUUUUCAGGGUGUCUGUACUGUCAGAAUGAAGAAAAGGAGAAAAGCUGUGAUAUUUUACUUUAUAUUAUUUUAUUUUAUUUUUAGGUAGAGGUUUAUUCUUAGUAGUACCAUAUUAAUAGAAUUUGAGCUAUCAAAAGUCAACUUUUUUCCUCAGACCAAAAUGAAUCUUAGAGCAUUGGUGUUUUCAUAUACUUGCUAAAACAACUUUUUCUCUUUUAGGAUUUCAGGACAUGUUCAGGCUUUGUUAAGAGAAAGGUGACACUAGGGUGACGUAUCAGUGUGAACAACAGAACAGAAGAUCCUCUGAGAGGAUUAACAUUAUAUAAUUUACCAUUAUUUUAUUGAUCUUAUUUUCACAUUUUCUUUAUCCUGUUGUAAUUAAUCAAACCAAAAAGGUAGGAAACAUCAUUUAAUAGUAAUAUUAUUUUUCAUAUUGUUAACAUACACAAGUACCUAAGCUGUGAUUGGCUCCCAGAUACAUUUGGCAUCAUGGGUUUGGCAUCAAUACUGUAUUGUACAUGCAUUGUUAUUCUGGUUAAAUAUGACAUUUAACCGGUCUAUAUUUUAAACCUAGUCACUGGCACUGGGCUGAGAACGUUCCACAUCUCCUACCUGAAGACUCCUGAGGUUAUAAACAACACAAUGGACUGGAAGCUGGUGCUGACUGUUUUGUGUCUGACUGAAGCUGUAUUGUGUAUGAAUUUGAUGUUAUAGGAGUGCAACAUUAAAGUUGAUCGUAUUUGUGUUCAGCAAACACAACUACAACAAACACAACUUCAGCAAAUACAUAUUGAGGGAGCUUCAAGCUUGAAACCCAGUUUGAGGCUCAGCCAUUGCCAGAUGAGCUGAUUUCAGGAAACACUUGUAGGGUCUAUUUAAACCACAGAAGAAGAAGAUCACACCUGCCCCACUGCCAAGUUUCUAACUUCUCCUCUACAGCCCAUUCAGAUCUGAUGAAGAAGGGCCAACCACACUGACUGCACUGGAUGGAUGAAACAGAGAGGGUGUUCCUCCACCUUAAGGAGGCUCUCACCUCCAUACUUUGACAUCCCCUUCACCUUCCAAACUGACGUCUCUGAGACCAGGCUGGGGGUCAUGUAAACUACCACAGAGAACCCGACAUGGUAGCUAGAGGGAGAUAAGAUGAGAAAGCUCCGGAUCAAACUAAUACACUGUCAGAUACAUUUUGGACACUGCGGCAUAUUAAAUAUAUGAUAAAUAGUAAGUUGUUCUGUGUGACAAAUACAAUGUGUGAUGGGAGAGCUUGACAAAAGACCCAAAUGCGUGACUGUCACUCUUAAUGCGUGACUCCUGAUAGCCCUGAUAUUGUAAAGUCACAUAUUGUUUCUGUUUUUCUGCCUGCCCUGCAUUGCUCUGUCUGCCUGUAUACUGGAUUCCUGGAGCUGUUUAUCAGGCUGCCCUACAUUGCUAUGUCUACUUGUGGGUGUGUAAACAAUACACUUGGAUACAAUACAAUACGUGGCACUUCA